rnacentral:rRNA from 1 species
AGAGUUUGAUUCUGGCUCAGAUUGAACGCUGGCGGCAGGCCUAACACAUGCAAGUCGAGCGGUAGAGAGAAGCUUGCUUCUCUUGAGAGCGGCGGACGGGUGAGUAAUGCCUAGGAAUCUGCCUGGUAGUGGGGGAUAACGUUCGGAAACGGACGCUAAUACCGCAUACGUCCUACGGGAGAAAGCAGGGGACCUUCGGGCCUUGCGCUAUCAGAUGAGCCUAGGUCGGAUUAGCUAGUUGGUGGGGUAAUGGCUCACCAAGGCGACGAUCCGUAACUGGUCUGAGAGGAUGAUCAGUCACACUGGAACUGAGACACGGUCCAGACUCCUACGGGAGGCAGCAGUGGGGAAUAUUGGACAAUGGGCGAAAGCCUGAUCCAGCCAUGCCGCGUGUGUGAAGAAGGUCUUCGGAUUGUAAAGCACUUUAAGUUGGGAGGAAGGGCAGUAAAUUAAUACUUUGCUGUUUUGACGUUACCGACAGAAUAAGCACCGGCUAACUCUGUGCCAGCAGCCGCGGUAAUACAGAGGGUGCAAGCGUUAAUCGGAAUUACUGGGCGUAAAGCGCGCGUAGGUGGUUCGUUAAGUUGGAUGUGAAAUCCCCGGGCUCAACCUGGGAACUGCAUUCAAAACUGACGAGCUAGAGUAUGGUAGAGGGUGGUGGAAUUUCCUGUGUAGCGGUGAAAUGCGUAGAUAUAGGAAGGAACACCAGUGGCGAAGGCGACCACCUGGACUGAUACUGACACUGAGGUGCGAAAGCGUGGGGAGCAAACAGGAUUAGAUACCCUGGUAGUCCACGCCGUAAACGAUGUCAACUAGCCGUUGGGAGCCUUGAGCUCUUAGUGGCGCAGCUAACGCAUUAAGUUGACCGCCUGGGGAGUACGGCCGCAAGGUUAAAACUCAAAUGAAUUGACGG